rnacentral:rRNA from 1 species
UACGAAGGGGGCGAGCGUUGUUCGGAUUUACUGGGCGUAAAGAGCUCGUAGGUGGUUUGUCGCGUUGUUCGUGAAAACUCACAGCUCAACUGUGGGCGUGCGGGCGAUACGGGCAGACUGGAGUACUGCAGGGGAGACUGGAAUUCCUGGUGUAGCGGUGGAAUGCGCAGAUAUCAGGAGGAACACCGGUGGCGAAGGCGGGUCUCUGGGCAGUAACUGACGCUGAGGAGCGAAAGCGUGGGGAGCGAACAGG